rnacentral:snRNA from 1 species
UUCCUGCUUUGGUAGGAUGUAUACUAAACUUGGAAUGAUGCAGCAUGACCCCUGCUCAAGGAUGACAUGCAAGUUUGUGAGGCUUGCUGAAUUUGC